GGAGUCAAGCAGAGCUAAAGAAAUUUAUUCACACAGAAAAUAUUCCAGUAAUGUUCCUGGUUGAUGUUUAGCUCUCAGCUUGUACGAGGCUCUUGCUGUAGAUUGACAACAAGCUGCUUUUACUAGAAGGAGGCUUGCUCCGGAAGCCUUCAGAUGAAAAUGAAAAGAAAACGUCACCGUGGCCAGAGGCGGAGGCAGCGCCUGCGACGACGACGACAACAGCAAGAGGAACAACAGGAGCAGCAGCAGCAGCAGCAGCAGCAGCAGCAGCAGCAGCAGCAGCAGCAGCAGCAGCAACAGCAGCAGCAACAGCAGCAGCAGCAGCAGCAGCAGCAACAGCAGCAGCAGCAGCAGCAGCAGCAGUGCCAGCAGUGCCAGCAGUGCCAGCAACUGCAGCAGCAGGAGCAGCAGCAGCAGCAGCAGCAGCAGCAGCAGCAGCAGCAGCAGCAGCAGCAGCGUAGGAGGAGAAAUAACAGGAGGAGCAGGAGGAGCAGAAAGAGCAAGAAGAGCAGAAGGAACAGGAGGACCAGGAACACCAGGAGAAGGAGGAGAAGAAAUAAUGAGUGAUUCUUCUUUGGAGAAAUUUGUACUCAAAGAAUUACUCAUGUAGAGUCUCACUGUGCUGUCAUCUGAGACUUGAAGGUCAUUACUGAACCCAUGCUUCCUCUCAACUUCACGAGAAGAUCACUACAGAUGCAGAUCACCACACUUAGCUAGUGAUAUUCCUGUCUCCUUGCCAAUAAAAUUUCAUCUACCCUUGGUUGUGUACAAGGUUUUAUGCUGGACACCAGCUUCAAGAGUUCAUAGUGCCUGAGAAGGACAGAUGUAGCAGGUGACAUGAAGAUAAAUUGCAUUGGACAAAAGCUUGAAUGAGCCACGGAGAAUACUUUGUCUGUUUCUGCACUCAGAAGAGGAAACAAAGUUUCAAAAGGGCCACUCAGUUAAGUUAUAUUUCCUAGAUCAGCAACUACAUCAUUUCUAAUUUGUUCUUAUCUCCUACUCAGAUUUUAUGAGAAUAACUAAGUGAAGCCAUAUGAGACUAAGAUGUUUGGGAGAAGGGAAAUGUUAAAAUAUUUCAGAAAACUUUAGCUAGUGGAAGUGUUAAAGUUUGCAGAUGGAUUAAAUAUAUAUAUGUAUUCAAGGUAGGUAAAUUCUGGCAAUAAAAGGCAGCAACUUGUGUAAGUCAGGACAGCUAAUUUUGGAUUGUUAUAAACAAUAUUGUUGGGGCAUGACUGCACUUAGGGGAUGUAUUUGUCCAGAAUCAGAAGGCUACAAGAAACUUUUCCUUGUGUUUCCAUCAAGGCAUCAGAAAGAGUGGCAAGAAUCUGUUCCCUUAAAGAUUUAACACCACAGGGAUGACACUCAUUUAGGGACCUGUCCUGGGGAACCACAUAUAGAAUUAAAUGUAAUAAAUAGAAAGGAUGUAAAUGGAGCAGGAGCAGGGGCAGGGGCAGGGGCAGGGGCAGGGGCAGGGGCAGGGGCAGGGGCAGGGGCAGGAGCAGGAACAGGGUUUGUGUGGCUUGAGUGUCUGGCAAAUGACAGUUAUAACCUUGCAGAUUCCCCUCUAAACAUGUGCCACUUCUCUCCUACAGCCUCCCUUCUUCCUGAUUGUAUAUGCAAGGAAGGUUCUGGCAUUAGUAAAGAUAUUAGGAAGAAAAUGUUAAAAUUAUCUAAGCAGGUGUCCCAUUGAAGAAAGUGUGAUUAUGUAUCUGAAGACUUGAAUCCUCAUUGCAGCACUAAAAUGCUGAGUAUUAGGGGGAAAUGAUUUUACUUCAACUGAAGGAGACAACAGUUUUCUUAGCUUUGUAACUAUGGAACUAAGCCUGCUAUAUCAUGGAAAUAUUUAAAGUAGUCCCAAGUUAGAUUAUACACAUGCCAUGCCAAUUACAGUCAACCCAAGGAAAGAUCGACCUAGGUGGGUAGGUCAUUGUAAAUGGUAGCAUCUCACUGGUUCUUAUACAUAUAUUUAUUUUCUAAAAACUGCAGACACUCCAUUGUUUGUAAAAUCUAAGUGCCAUUGAAAAUGCUUUCUUUAUGUUAGCUGAUUGGUUUUCUUCUUUGUUUUACAAUUAUUCUGACAUUAACAAUUUAAGCAUUCCUCUAACAAUACAAUCUCGAUAUGUGUGGUGAAUUAUUGGCACACUUUGUAUUUACUUGAUUACAUUUUAUGAAUUUGAUAAAAUUGAGUAAAGGGGAACACUUACUUCCAUAAACACAGUCCCCUCCAUGCAUUCCUCCCAUUCCCUCUCCCCAAAAUUCCCUGUCAAAAAGAUCCAUUCCUCUUCCUUUUCUCUUUAGAGAAAACAAAAAC
rnacentral:lncRNA from 1 species